GGGGAUUUAGCUCAGUGGUAGAGCGCUUGCAUAGAAAGUGCAAGGCCCUGGGUUCAGUCCCCA
rnacentral:tRNA from 1 species